AACGUAGGACGCAAGCGUUAUCCGGAGUUACUGGGCGUAAAGCGCGGGCAGGCGGCUCUGCCAGUCUGAUGUGAAAUCUCCCGGCUCAACCGGGAGCAGCCAUUGGAAACUACAGAGCUGGAGUCUAGCAGAGGUAGGCGGAAUUCCGGGUGGAGUGGUGAAAUGCGUAGAGAUCCGGAGGAACACCAGAGGCGAAGGCGGCCUACUGGGCUAGCACUGACGCUGAGCCGCGAAAGCCAGGGGAGCGAACGGG
rnacentral:rRNA from 1 species